rnacentral:tRNA from 1 species
GGUUCCUUAGUUCAACGAUAGAACACCCGGCUCAUAACCGGGCAGUCGAUGGUUCGACACCAUCAGGAAUCA